rnacentral:rRNA from 1 species
AGUGAACGCUGGCGGUAGGCCUAACACAUGCAAGUCGAACGGCAGCACAGUAAGAGCUUGCUCUUACGGGUGGCGAGUGGCGGACGGGUGAGGAAUACAUCGGAAUCUACUUUUUCGUGGGGGAUAACGUAGGGAAACUUACGCUAAUACCGCAUACGACCUACGGGUGAAAGUAGGGGAUCUUCGGACCUUGCGCGAUUGAAUGAGCCGAUGUCGGAUUAGCUAGUUGGCGGGGUAAAGGCCCACCAAGGCGACGAUCCGUAGCUGGUCUGAGAGGAUGAUCAGCCACACUGGAACUGAGACACGGUCCAGACCCCUACGGGAGGCAGCAGUGGGGAAUAUUGGACAAUGGGCGCAAGCCUGAUCCAGCCAUACCGCGGGGGUGAAGAAGGCCUUCGGGUUGUAAAGCCCUUUUGUUGGGAAAGAAAAGCAGCAGGUUAAUACCCCGCUGUUCUGACGGUACCCAAAGAAUAAGCACCGGCGAACUUCGU